rnacentral:lncRNA from 1 species
GCCAAUAGGAAGUGAGAGGAUACUCUCAAGUAUUAGCAGCUGAAUAUGUCAGAUUCAACCACAACUGAAAGAUUAAUAUCUGCAAGCAAAGUAUCAACAACAAAGUAGUAUGAUAGCAACGGUGUCUGAAAUGAUCUGUUGACGGUAGACUAUUCCUAACUGUCAUAUCAAUGGCGCCAGCCGUUGCCCGUUGACGGAAAUUGUCUUUUCCCGUCAAUGACGAGCGAAUCAGAAUUGUAGCAGGUAGCAGUAGUGUAACGAGUAGCAGCAGUGGCAAGGAACAGCGGUAGUGACAUCAGUAACAAC